rnacentral:rRNA from 1 species
AACGAACGCUGGCGGCAGGCCUAACACAUGCAAGUCGAGCGCACCUUCGGGUGAGCGGCGGACGGGUUAGUAACGCGUGGGAACGUACCCUUUUCUACGGAAUAGCCUUUGGAAACGAAGAGUAAUACCGUAUACGCCCUUUGGGGGAAAGAUUUAUCGGAGAAGGAUCGGCCCGCGUUAGAUUAGAUAGUUGGUGGGGUAACGGCCUACCAAGUCUACGAUCUAUAGCUGGUUUUAGAGGAUGAUCAGCAACACUGGGACUGAGACACGGCCCAGACUCCUACGGGAGGCAGCAGUGGGGAAUCUUAGACAAUGGGCGCAAGCCUGAUCUAGCCAUGCCGCGUGAGUGAUGAAGGCCUUAGGGUCGUAAAGCUCUUUCGCCUGUGAUGAUAAUGACAGUAGCAGGUAAAGAAACCCCGGCUAACUCCGUGCCAGCAGCCGCGGUAAUACGGAGGGGGUUAGCGUUGUUCGGAAUUACUGGGCGUAAAGCGCACGUAGGCGGAUUGGAAAGUUGGGGGUGAAAUCCCGGGGCUCAACCCCGGAACUGCCUCCAAAACUAUCAGUCUAGAGUUCGAGAGAGGUGAGUGGAAUUCCAAGUGUAGAGGUGAAAUUCGUAGAUAUUUGGAGGAACACCAGUGGCGAAGGCGGCUCACUGGCUCGAUA